UACGUAGGCAGCAAGCGUUGUUCGGAAUUACUGGGCGUAAAGAGUGUGUAGGCGGUGUUCUAAGUUUGUCGUGGAAUCUCCCGGCUUAACUGGGAGGGUGCGGCGAAAACUGGAAUGCUAGAGGAUGGGAGAGGUAAGCGGAAUUCCUGGUGUAGCGGUGAAAUGCGUAGAUAUCAGGAGGAACACCUGUGGUGUAGACAGCUUACUGGACCAUUUCUGACGCUGAGACACGAAAGCGUGGGUAGCAAACAGG
rnacentral:rRNA from 1 species